UUGUUUUAAAUUGUUGUUCAUCAUUUGCUCUUUUGUUUCAAUCAUUUUUUUCGGAAGAUAUUCCACAUUAUGGAUGCCAAUAAUGGUGAGCAGGACCAUAUAUGUCAAAUGGAAUAUAAAUCUUCUCAAGACGCUUCACAGAGCCCAGAUCCUGAAACCUUCCAGAUCAGGCCCCUGAGGCGACGCUGGCAAGAAGCAGGAAGAAACCAAAUCAGAUCCCAUCAGUUUCUUUGUUUCCAUUGUUGCUUAAAGAACAAUUUAAAAGCCUCUAUUCAACCAAGAAAUUACCUUUGCAGCACAAUAUCACCGCUCCUCCGAGAACAGCGCACACAAGCAGCCGGAGCAUCCCACAACACGCCACAGGGGUCCCAUGCUUCAUCAGAUUAACCCACACAGGCAGAGCAAGGACACAGCCACAUAGAGCGCACAAAAGAGCGUGAAGAUCGCGACAAGUGAAUGAUGAAUGCUGCAAAUUACAGGAAAUAAGACCUUGAAGAAAAGGUAGUUGGGAGUGCUGCAAAUCAGGUCAUGGAGAAUUGUAAAAAAAUAAAUAAAAUACCAACGAGGAAGCGACUACCUUGAGCUGGCAGUGGUGACGCGGUGAAGUGGGAACCUUGACUGAGGACAGAGGAAACAAAUCAAAGCAGAGAUCAUUACGUGAUCAAGACGAAUUGACAGCAGGGAGCAGCUCGAGGGAAGGGUCGAUGUGACAUGAGAAGAUGUACAGCUGUGUGACAAUUCGCACAAGAUGAAUGCCGUCUGUGUUAAAUUCAGAUUUAAAAAUAAAGCAAUAAUAAAUC